GAUGAACGCUGGCGGCGUGCCUAAUACAUGCAAGUCGAGCGAACAGAUAAGGAGCUUGCUCCUUUGACGUUAGCGGCGGACGGGUGAGUAACACGUGGGUAACCUACCUAUAAGACUGGGAUAACUUCGGGAAGCCGGAGCUAAUACCGGAUAACAUUUGGAACCGCAUGGUUCUAAAGUGAAAGAUGGUUUUGCUAUCACUUAUAGAUGGACCCGCGCCGUAUUAGCUAGUUGGUAAGGUAACGGCUUACCAAGGCAACGAUACGUAGCCGACCUGAGAGGGUGAUCGGCCACACUGGAACUGAGACACGGUCCAGACUCCUACGGGAGGCAGCAGUAGGGAAUCUUACGCAAUGGGCGAAAGCCUGACGGAGCAACGCCGCGUGAGUGAUGAAGGGUUUCGGCUCGUAAAACUCUGUUAUUAGGGAAGAACAAAUGUGUAAGUAACUGUGCACGUCUUGACGGUACCUAAUCAGAAAGCCACGGCUAACUACGUG
rnacentral:rRNA from 1 species